ensembl:lncRNA
AUGACUAAAUCACUUUAUUUUCUCUAUAAAGCAGAGAAGUACAAUGUGUCUUGCGUGCAUACCAACUACCUUUUGUUGAGUGACUCUGGAGAAUCGAGAAAGGACAAAAUCAUUCAAGGUUUUGGCUACCACAACUAUUCCUCAGUUUUGGCGCUUAGAGAUGAAGAUGGAAGUUCCAGGAGAUCUAGCCACAUCUUGGAGGUGAAAUACUUUCUGGAGCAGGUGGGCAAAGCCUUUAUUUUGCAUACUUCCCAAGUCAGAAGCCUCAAAUCACCUUCCGCCCGUGACCCUCCAGCCCAUCUUCACACUCGCCUCCCCGACCCCACCCCAUCACCGCUCCGCUACUCCCAAUGCUGUCCUGGUGGCACCCAGGAGCCGUCUUUGCGGGCGGGGUUCCCCUUCUUCGCGGACAGGCUGCGUGUGAGCCUCGGCUCCUCCAUCCAGGAGCCAGGCCUCUUUCUUCAUCUUGCUGAGGAGUUCCAGGCUGCUGUCGCCCCAGUUCCCAGGGGCUUUGCACUCCCACGGGCUCCUGCUCACCUCUCCCACCACUGGGCGCUGACAGCACUCCAGGAGCAAGGAGGGGCAGCAGGAGCCGGGCCUCGCACUGCCGGGGAAGGGCAGCCCUCUGGGGUCUGGGCCACGGUCCCCGAGGAGCAGAGGAGCCGCAGGAGCCGCCACAGCAGACCCCCGGACGCAGAGGACCCCUCGCUGCUGCGGAGGAGCGCGCUCAGCCGGUGCCAACUUUCCCGACCCGGGAGACAAAGCGGUGGAGGGCAGUCCGGGACCCGAGUUGGAGGCGCGGGGCUCUGCUCCGUGGCUGUGGGGGCCGGAGCUCAGGACCCCAACACCAGCCAAGACUGGCCGCGGCAGGGCUGGCGGAGGCGGCGCCACCCGGGGUGGCCGCAGGUGCUGAGCGAGGCGCCGCCACGUGGGUGGGAAGAGGAGCCUCAGGGACCGGCUGCCGCCAGCAGAGCCCCACAUGGGGGCCGGGAGCUGUGUGUGGGGGGGUGCCCAGCUCCGCUCUCCCCACCGCCCUGCACCGCUAUGGGCUGAGGUCAGCCUGCCAGCACCAAGGACCCUCCCUUUGCUCUUUACUGCGUUUCACUGAAGACUCCAGCCAGUGUCCUGGAGAGGAGAGGGAUUCCUGCUAUUCCUGCUCUGUCCCUCUCAGUCUCUACAUUGGCACCUUGAUGUAACCCACAGCACAGGCAGCGUGUCCUGGCUGAGAGGCACAGAAGGCCUGUGGGGAUGGAGGUGGGGCCGUGUGUGGAUAAAAAAGCAUAUUUUAAAAGUAUAUAAAUUUAAGCGUGUGUCUGCAUGUGUGUGUGUGUGUCUGUGUGUGUUUACGGUUUUUCCCAUCAGUCGCCAGCUUUGCUCCCUUUUCUUGACCUUCUGUAGCCUUCAUUGGAUCUAAAACCAGUUUUGCAUAUUCUCAUUUGAAAGAGUACUUCGUUACCAGCCAUUUCUAAAUGUUUUGUGCCCCUAACACUAUGGUUUCCUUUAAAAUACCACAAAGUCCUAGGGGAAAAGAAAAAGGAAAUCAAAACUAUUUGGGAACAUUUUCGUUUGGAGCACACCAAUGUAGUCCCAGGGUCUAGCUUUAAACCCAAGAUUCCGUAGGAAAUCAGGAAUCUAUCGGAGACAUUUAUCUACUGCAUUUGUUAUAUAACUGGUGAACCAAUUCAUUGACCUGUAUCAUUCCCCACCUCACCCCUUGAAGCAGCUGGUAUGCCUUCUGAAUUCUUGGAAAUAACUUUCCAUAUGGUUAGCAGUCUUCUAUUUGGGUAUAAGGUGCUCACCACAGUCAUGCUGUGAGUUCUGGAGAAUGACCACACUUGGUUGCUUAAAAUUGAAAAUAACCUAAUUGUAACUGAAGAACAUUUCUACAAAAUAAGGGAACAGUAUGUUCCAAAAGUGUCAGUGUCAUGAAGUUGUCCUUCAUGACUGGGAACUGUCAGGGAGGAAGGAGAUUUAGGAGUAAGAAAACACGUCCUGUGAUCUUGAAUUAGAUCUUAGCUCGAGAAAGGGACAUUAGUAGGUCAGUUGGCAAAGUUGAAUAAAAUAUGUAGAAUGGCUGGUCAUAUUAUAUAAAUCUUAAUUUCCUAAUUUUGAAAUUGAACUGUGGUUGUGUCAGAUGUUGUGGAAGCAGAAUAUAAGGCAUAUAAGAAAUUAAUUUUUGAAAACUGUAUUUUGUUAUUUUAAAAUGAAAACAGAAAAUAAAUUUGGUCUGAUAAAAAUAACAUAAAAUGAUUGGAUUCAAUGACCUUGAAAUCUUCUCUGAGCCUAAACUUCUUCAAGCGUGUUACUAAAAUAUGUGCCAAGCCAGUUCUCCUGCUGCUGGCUAGUAUAAGGUUCAAAUGGAGAUUUUAGGAAGGAAAAGAAAAUUUGAAAAUUGCAAAUUGCAAAUUAUUUUUAAGCUUCAACAUUUUCCAGUAGAAAGUUUGAUUUUACAAGGGUGAAAUGUCUUCAGAGUCUUCUGCCAUCUUUACAAAACUAAUAACACUCUUGUAUGUACACAGUCAACAACUGAUAAAUGUCAAGACGAUAACAGCUGUAACAAUAAAAUAGUAAAAAUCGUAUCAUUCGUGUGUGUGUGUGUGUG